rnacentral:rRNA from 1 species
UACGGAGGGAGCUAGCGUUGUUCGGAAUUACUGGGCGUAAAGCGCACGUAGGCGGCUUUGUAAGUUAGAGGUGAAAGCCCGGGGCUCAACUCCGGAACUGCCUUUAAGACUGCAUCGCUUGAAUCCAGGAGAGGUGAGUGGAAUUCCGAGUGUAGAGGUGAAAUUCGUAGAUAUUCGGAAAGAACACCAGUGGCGAAGGCGGCUCACUGGACUGGUAUUGACGCUGAGGUGGCGAAAAGCG